GUGUGCAUCUGUGUAUUUGUGUGUGUGUGUGUGUGUGUGUGUGUGUGUGUGUGUGUGCGUGUGCAUGUAUACACACGGAGUGCAAAGCCAUCGUGAGCAGUGCCUGACAACCUCAACGCUCAAAGUUGCGACUCACCAGUGCCUGCAACUUUCAUCGUUAAAGCUUGUCUGUCCUUUUUCCGGUUGCCAGAAAACACACGCUGUGACCCGUGGUCUCACUAUCACAGCACGAAGCUCCUCCCCCUCCACUCAAGGAAAGAAACUGAAAACGUCCAUGACGUGGUUUUCCUAGUGAAUUAAAUCACCCUGUAAAUAAACCGAGGGGAAACAGCUUUCAAAGGGGUAUUGAUAGGAAAACUAUUCUUACAACUGAGUCCACAUCAGUGUGCUGACGGCGUCUUGAUGGAAGCUGAAGGACCCUGACAGGAAGCGCGACCCAGAAAGCAGGGAGGAUAGAGCCAAGGCACGCACCAGCCAAGACUCUGUGGAAACAUGAAGGCUGGAGAACUUCCACAACGGCACAACUUUAAAUGACCUGGGGAUUACAGACAAAGGACUAACGCCCGAUCUGCUUGGCCGUGGAAACUUCCCAUCCCGUCUUUUCCUUCAUUGUACUUGAUUUCCACGCUAGCCGUAAUGAAGAUAAGAUGGACUUGAUCGGAAUAGUUAUUUUUCUGACGCUCUUGGUGGUAGCCUGACAAACGUAAAGGCGAACUAUAAAGAAAAAUCCUUUAACUUCAGGCUGGUGACAACUGGGGAUGGACCUGCGUGUUUGAAUGACAGCGGCUGAGGCCAGUGUCUGUGUAAAUUGGUUUGGAUGCCUUAUAAGGGGCAGAUGUAAGCAACGGUUCUAAUUCCCAAAUUCACAUUCUAUUUAUAGUUCUGCUUUUCUGUUUGGAAGUGUGGGUCCUAGUGAUGCGGUGCGGAGGGGAGAGGGCAGAGACGGUGUAGGCCAGGGAUCAAGUUCUCCCUGCUGGCUCCCUGACUUACCAUGCUGGCUACUCAGUUGUUUCUCCUUUUUAUACAGUUUAGCAUCAAGACAAUAAAACUGCAAUGUCAGCCUCCACCAGUAGGUGAUGUCCUCUGAAGCACAGAGUUCUUAGAAACCUCUACAUUUCAGUAGUCCAAACAGGGUCAUCUAAAAAUGGGCAAAUCUAGCCCAUCUUCACUCUGAGUUUCCUAUCAGUUUUACAGGUAUACUCCACUCCGCACUGCUUGGGUUUACCUUGCGGGCAGGUUAAGCUAACCAGUGGACGGUAUUCACCAUGAGAAAAUGGGUGAACGCAGCUCGUUUCCUACAGCACGCAUCCAACCCUCAUCAUCCACCCUCCUCUGUAAACUACAUGGGGUUGAGAUUUUGCUAACAAAUAAGGAAGCUAGCAGUCAUCUGCAGGGUUAAAACUGUAACGUUGAUCUCCAUGGAGCUCAGACGUCUAUCAGUUCGGCUAAUUAAUGAAAACGUCAUGGGCAGCACACAAGUGCCUUCUCCCAUGACACUGCAUUCCACUAAAGAGAAUAUGUGUCAUCUCAUUUUCUGAAGGCCAGGUCAUUUUCAAGGUGAAAAUGAUUCACCCGAUUUUAAAAUAUUCACUCAAACACAGGUCUCCCUAAUAAUUUUUACUUACUGAAAGUAGGGCGGGUCCACCUAUUAUUAGUCUGACUGUUUUGCCCGGAAUAUAUGGUAAAUGUCACCGAACAAGGUUUGCAUGCCUCAACUAACAGAUGCUUUGGGCUGUGAGUAGACAAUUCUAAUCAGCCUUAAGACCCUCACUACUUCUAGGCAUCGAUGCUACCAUCUUUAUUGUCUUAACGUUAGUGGGAGGCUCUGUACCUACUCUUGGAGCUCUUGAUUCAAAUCUUAGGUCUUUUGGUUGGACCUUGGGUGAGUCACAAAAGUGUCCUAAGUCACAGUGUCUACAUGCUAAGUUGUUGUGAGCAUUGCAAGGGGAAUAGAUCAUAAAACUCUGACCCCUGCCACAGGGCAGGGCACUCAGUGUGUGUUCACCACUUCUUGCUUAUCCGUCCAGCUUUGGUGUAUCUGUGAAGACCUCCAGGGCAAGGAUCUCAUUUGUCAUGUUGCCCGUGGUUAGGACAGAGCCCAGACCCAGCAAGGGCUCGCUAAGCAUGGAAUGACUCAUGGAUUAGGGAAAGAAUGUGGAGCAAUAAGAAGACAGAAUGCUUUUCUGUUUCUUCUACCACAGAAGAGAGAGGCUUUCCCUGAGCCAUCUACAACCCCCAAAGAGGCAGAGGAAAAAAAAUAGAAGACAGAAAUGUUGAGUUCUCACAACAUCUUCUAACAAUGGAUGGUUCUAAGUAAAUCAAUCUUAUCCUGGUUAAGUCACGAGUAAUUUAUAUGCUGACAUGUUUUACAGUUACUGCUAUUGAUGUCUGAUAAUAAUUGACUUUGACGUUGAAGGCUCACUAUGUGUGGAACACUCCUGUAGAUUCUGCAUAUAUAUUAAAUCACUUUCUCUGUAA